CACGGGGGCGCAAGCGUUAUUCGGAAUUAUUGGGCGUAAAGGGCGCGUAGGCGGUCUUGUCCGUCAGGUGUGAAAGCCCGGGGCUCAACCCCGGAAGUGCACUUGAAACAGCAAGACUUGAAUACGGGAGAGGAAAGCGGAAUUCCUGGUGUAGAGGUGAAAUUCGUAGAUAUCAGGAGGAACACCGAUGGCGAAGGCAGCUUUCUGGACCGAUAUUGACGCUGAGGCGCGAAGGCGUGGGUAGCGAACGGGG
rnacentral:rRNA from 1 species